rnacentral:lncRNA from 1 species
GAUCUCCUGGCGCUCACCUCCCGGGCGUUCCUUUCGUGUCCCCUUGAAAGCCCGGUCCUUGGGCUUGGAAUGAGACGGUUUGGGUAAUUAUGGGAGUGUGGCGAGGCUCAUGCCUGCUUUGGUCAGUAGAAUACAGCUGAAGUGAUGUUGUACCAGUUUUGCGUCUGGUCUUUACAAGCACUGGUAGCUUCAACUUUCUCCUUCUUGGUACUCACCCACCAUGUUGUAAGGAAACCCAAACAGCCACGUGGAAGACAGUUCUAGUUGAGCUCCCAGCCCAGAGCCUAUCCCAACUCUCCAGCCAUACCCUGACUUCCUUCAGCAAAGAGACAGCUUCUGAUUCAUGUUCGUCUCACCAUAAUCCAUUUCCCUCUCUGCAGAUACUUCCAAAAGUUACACUAGAUGUUAACUGAGCACUAAGGACACUACGUGAAAGACUGGAGUACAAACAUCCAAAGGACUGAAGAAUUUGAAGAGCACUGAAUGUGGGAGAUAGGACAGAGGAAAGGAGUCAAAUGUCUCCAAGAAACGAAGCCUGUGUGCCCUGGAGAAUGAAGAAGCAUCAUCAAAUCGGGGAGACUGAAGGAGGAAUCGGUUUUCAGAGAAAAACAAUUUAUAUUGUCUUAGCUGUGUUAGGUGGCAUACUAUUACAUUCAAGUGAAGCUGUGUAAUAGACAGAGAUGACAAAUUUUAUUCAUUUAUGAAUGCCCCCCAAAAUAUAUAUAUAGUUUUUGCCCUCAUGUCUCUUAUUGGGAUGACAGACAUAAAUCAAAGAAUUCCAUAAAUAAAUAUUAAAAUACAAUUUGUGAUAAA